rnacentral:rRNA from 1 species
UACGUAGGGUGCAAGCGUUGUCCGGAAUUAUUGGGCGUAAAGAGCUCGUAGGCGGUCUGUCGCGUCGGCUGUGAAAACCCGGAGCUCAACUCCGGGCCUGCAGUCGAUACGGGCAAACUGGAGUGUUGCAGGGGAGACUGGAAUUCCUGGUGUAGCGGUGAAAUGCGUAGAGAUCGGGAGGAACAUCAGUUGCGAAGGCGGCUCUCUGGACCAUCACUGACACUGAGGCACGAAAGCGUGGGGAGCAAACAGGG